CUGGAUACCACCGCUGAGAAGCCCUGUGCAAGGUAAGGCAGUGCACCCGGGCAGCUCUGCGCCCUGGUGCUUACCGUGACCCUCGGGUGCCCCAGAGCACGGCAGUUGGCUUUGGAGUGAUGCCUUGGGCUGCUUCUUGUGUGGCUCAGGUCCAAGUCCACAGGAGACCCCUGGCUGACCGAUGGCUCCUACUUCGAUGGCACCGGUUACGCAGAGAUCAAGUUUGAGAGCCAGUUUGGCACCACCAAGCGCUUCGAGCAGGAGAUCCGGGUGGUCUCCUACAAUGGAAUCCUCUUCUUCCUGGAGAACCAGGCAGGGUCAGUUCCUGUGUCUGGCCAUCCGGGAUGGGAAGCUGGUGCUUUACUAUGACUUCAGCUCUGGCCUGGAGAUGGCAAAACCCAGCAGCAACUCCUCCUCCCUCACCAUCAGCAGCACCACAAACAAAGCGGUAAGGGGGAGCUUGCUUGGAGGGCUCCUCAGCCAGAGGGCAGGGGGGGCACCUGGACCCUUGGUUUUGGGGAGUGGAGGGCUGCGAGAUAUCCUUUGACACCUCGUGCUGCACCUCAUUGCCGCGGGCUGGCGGAUCCUCAUCAGAUCAUUUUCCUUCUCUUGUCUCCAGAUCCAGAUCUUCCUCCUCAAGAUGAACAACAAGAAGCGCAUCCUGGUGCGGCUGGAGCGGCUCACCAUCUUCAUGGUGGAGCAGGAGAACUCCCUGGAGAACGCCGUCUCCUACUACCUGGGCGGUGUGCCCCCGGAUGCACUGCCCCCCAGGUGGGUCCAGCCUGCAGUGGGGUGGGACAGUUCGCAUCUUCCCCUCCAGUGUCCCUCAUGGUGGCCCCAGCCCUUUCUCAGCCACAUCCAGGGCUGUUGGGGCCCUGGAUGAAGCUCUGGGGGGUGAUUUCCUGCCCGUCACCGUGAGCCUUUGAGGAUGGGACAUCUCCAUCUCUGGUGGAGGAUGAGAUGCUGGUGGGUGUCACCGGGUCCUCCUUUGCUGUGCUGGGUGCUUCGGAGCAGCCUUGUGCCUGAGGCACUGGGGAUACCUGCG
rnacentral:lncRNA from 1 species